CAUGCNAGUCGGACGGCAGCAUAAAAGAGCUUGCUCUUUUGAUGGCGAGUGGCGAACGGGUGAGUAAUGCAUCGGAACGUACCGAGUAGUGGGGGAUAACUGUCCGAAAGGAUGGCUAAUACCGCAUAUUCUCUGAGGAGGAAAGCAGGGGACCUUAGGGCCUUGCGCUAUUUGAGCGGCCGAUGUCUGAUUAGCUAGUUGGUGGGGUAAGAGCCCACCAAGGCGACGAUCARUAKCGGGUCUGAGAGGAUGAUCCGCCACACUGGGACUGAGACACGGCCCAGACUCCUACGGGAGGCAGCAGUGGGGAAUUUUGGACAAUGGGCGCAAGCCUGAUCCAGCCAUGCCGCGUGURUGAAGAAGGCCUUCSGGUUGUAAAGUACUUUUGUCAGGGAAGAAAAGCCUGAGGAUAACACCCUCAGGUCAUGACGGUACCUGAAKAAUAAGCACCGGCUAACUACGUGCCAKCAGCCGCGGUAAUACGUAGGGUGCGAGCGUUAAUCGGAAUUACUGGUCGUAAAGCGAGCGCACACGGUUAUUUAAGCUAGAUGUGAAAGCCCCGGGCUCAACCUGGGAACUGCGUUUUGAACUGGGUAA
rnacentral:rRNA from 1 species